rnacentral:lncRNA from 1 species
GAAGUUGUCAGUGCCUAUACUUUAUUUAAAAAUUGGGGAAAAACUGAUCAGGAUUUCAAAAAAAUUGAUCCAACAAAGUUAUUUAUAACACUAACCUAUACAGUUAAAAUAAUCUCUCAAGGUAAUGGUUAGCAUUACCCAAUUUGCAGUUUUUAACUUUUCAUACCAUAAUAAUCUCAGUGAUUUAGAUCUGUCUCACGGUUAGAGAAACAGUAACUUACCUUUCCUUUGUUAUGAAAAAUUCCAAUAUACAAUUUCAUUUAAACCAUUUUAGUAUUCUUGGGGCAACAUUUGUCUUCUAUUUUUGGAAACCACCUAAAUCAACCCUGACUUCAAAUGCUUUCUUCUUUUGAAGACUUUAUUUCAGUUAUAACCUCAAUUUAUACAUGUUGUCGAAGGUUAAGGAAAUUGUUCUUUUUCUGCUUUUCUUUUUUUAAGAGUUUAUUGCCAUUUUAGAAACUGACUCCAAAUCGCAGUCAAGAAACCAUUUUGUAUCAGAAAACUGAAUCGAGAAAAUGAAUUGUGCAACAAUAGCAUUGUGCCUUUUGUUGAAACCUUCUAGUAGAUGUAAUAUUUAAAUAUUACUUUCCAGCCUUUGAUGGCCUGAAUAUAUUUUGAAGAAAAGAGCUAUUUGAUUUUCAAGUUAUCUUUUGGUUUUUAUACAAUAGAUUAAUGCUUUUCCCCCAUCUUAGCUGAUAUGUAUGCAUAGGCAUUUGGAAAUUAUGGAAGGACAUCUAUUUAACUUACGGAUAUAUAUUACCACUUGAUUCAUAUCAAGUAUUUGCCAAAUAUUUGGUACUUUUGGAAGUCAAAAUAUAUCUACAUCUUAUUCUAUGAAAAUAUAUGCGGGGAUCAAUAAAAGCACACUAGAUGUGAUUCUUCUAUGAUUUUUAAAUGAUAAUAGCAUAGUAAUUUAAUACUAGUGAUACAAUUUCUAUUCCAAGACACUCUUUCAGUUUUUUACAUGUUUUCAAGUGGGUUGCUCAUGUCCUGAGGUUGCUAUCAUACGAUUGAUCACACAGGCAAUCAGGAGUGCAUAACGACACAUGAGAUUUUAUAUUUCAGCAGGGAACUGCUUCAGUGUAAGGGCAGGUUUCUCAACACCCCUUCUUCCUCACGGAGCCCAUCAGUGAAGUUCAGUGAAAUGAAUAACAUAAUUGGUGGUUGGUUCAAUCACUACCAGUCUAGACUAGCCCAGACGCAUCAAUUAGAGGGGGCUGUCUUUUAAAGGGAGAGUGCCACCGAAACAAGCAGGGCAUUAUUGAUACUGAUCUUUAAAAGUGCAAAUCCAGCUUGGCAGAU